rnacentral:tRNA from 1 species
GCUCUUGUGGCGGAAUUGGUAGACGCGUACGGUUCAGAGCCGUAUGAGCAUAUGCUCGUGUGGGUUCAACUCCCACCAAGAGCAC